rnacentral:rRNA from 1 species
UACGUAGGGGGCAAGCGUUGUCCGGAAUCAUUGGGCGUAAAGGGCGCGUAGGCGGCUUACCAAGUCAGGCGUGAAAUUCCCGGGCUCAACCUGGGGGCUGCGCUUGAUACUGGUGAGCUUGAAUGCGGGAGAGGAUAGUGGAAUUCCCAGUGUAGAGGUGAAAUUCGUAGAUAUUGGGAAGAACACCGGUGGCGAAGGCGGCUAUCUGGCCCGUAAUUGACGCUGAGGCGCGAAAGCGUGGGGAGCAAACAGG